GUUGAAUGUGGUGAUUCAUACUUCUAAUCUCUGCUUUGGGGAGAUUGAGGCUGAAUGAUGACCAUGUGGGAGUUUUGAGCUGCAGUAGGCUGUCCCUAUAAGGUGUCUGCAAAAAAUCCAGCACUAAUAUGGUAAACUCUUAGGAGUAGGAGGCUAUAAGGCAGCUCAAGGAGGUGUGAACAGGCCCAGGUCAGAAAUGGAGCAGGUCAAAGCUCCAGGGCUGAUAAGUAGGUUUAGGCCCUGAGUGGCCAUUAUAAUUCCUGCCUGGAUGGCAAAGGGAGACCCAGUCUCAA
ensembl:misc_RNA Metazoa_SRP Metazoan signal recognition particle RNA